CCUACGGGAGGCAGCAGUGGGGAAUAUUGCACAAUGGGGGAAACCCUGAUGCAGCGACGCCGCGUGAGCGAUGAAGUCUUUCGGUAUGUAAAGCUCUAUCAGCAGGGAAGAAAAUGACGGUACCUGACUAAGAAGCCCCGGCUAACUACGUGCCAGCAGCCGCGGUAAUACGUAGGGGGCAAGCGUUAUCCGGAUUUACUGGGUGUAAAGGGAGCGUAGACGGCGGUGCAAGCCAGAUGUGAAAGCCCGGGGCUCAACCCCGGGACUGCUCUUGGAACUGCGUGGCUGGAGUGCAGGAGGGGCAGGCGGAAUUCCUGGUGUAGCGGUGAAAUGCGUAGAUAUUAGGAGGAACACCAGUGGCGAAGGCGGCCUGCUGGGCUUUUACUGACGCUGAGGCUCGAAAGUGUGGGGAGCAAACAGGAUUAGAUACCCCGGUGUC
rnacentral:rRNA from 1 species